GGUGUGGCUCAGUGGUAGAGCAUUUGCCUAGCAUGCAUGAGGCACUGGGUUCAAUCCUCAGCACCA
rnacentral:tRNA from 1 species